rnacentral:rRNA from 1 species
CCUACGGGUGGCAGCAGUGAGGAAUAUUGGUCAAUGGGCGUAAGCCUGAACCAGCCAAGUCGCGUGAGGGAUGAAGGUUCUAUGGAUCGUAAACCUCUUUUAUAAGGGAAUAAAGUGUGGGACGUGUCCUAUUUUGUAUGUACCUUAUGAAUAAGGAUCGGCUAACUCCGUGCCAGCAGCCGCGGUAAUACGGAGGAUCCGAGCGUUAUCCGGAUUUAUUGGGUUUAAAGGGAGCGUAGGCGGGAUGUCAAGCGUGCUGUGAAAUGUUCGGGCUCAACCCGGGCAUUGCAGUUCGUACUGGCGGUCUUGAGUGCGCGGAAAGCAGGCGGAAUUCGUCGUGUAGCGGUGAAAUGCUUAGAUAUGACGAAGAACCCCGAUUGCGAAGGCAGCUUGCUGAAGCGGAACUGACGCUGAUGCUCGAAAGCGCGGGUAUCGAACAGGAUUAGAUACCCGUGUAGUC